GGCGCGCCUUUAAUAACUAUGGUUGGAAAUGCAAUAGUGAUGACCAAAAAUUCUAUUCCUUUAUGCUGAACAAUGAUAUGAGUACAAGCAUCCCAAUGUGAUCCCACUCUUGUGCAAUAGAUGACCUUGAUUCACUUAACAAAAAGGGAUAAAAGGGCGUGUCACCUAAAGACUUAGAAAGGGAAUAAUAUUUAGAAAGAAACAAGAAAGCAGAUUUCAUCUGUUUAUUGUAAUUCACUAUUACCACAUUCAUAGAUUGAAACGAGUUUCCAUGAACAAUAUCUGAUCAUCACAUGUCACACAUCACAGCACCACAGUGAAAAAUAAAAGGAAACACAUCUUCAAAGGAGUGGUUACUAACAGCAGGACAAGUUCAGGUGCAAAGAAAAACCAUGCCAAUCUGCAAGUAUACACAAAUUAUGGUGAACAGCAUGAUUGAUGGUGCCCAUGAACUCACACAAAUUCAAAUGAUAUAGCAUCACCUGUUUUCACUACAUAUUUUAUUCUUCCGAUCAUUUAAGGAAAUGUAAACUAAUGAAAGUCAUAUUAACAACAAAACAAGAGAGGCAUUAAUGCUAUGUGAAACAGAUUUUCAUGAUAAUAACAAUAGCCUUUCAUCUCUCUUUCUCAUCCACGUACACACACACACACAAAGAAUAGCAUUUCUAUUUUGGAUAUGAAGUAGCCAUAUACACAACGUCUGAGCAUUAAUCAAUAGAAAUUCUCUUUACAGUCUCCAUGGAAUAUUCGCAGACAGAGAUUCAAGAAAUUUUAAAAAUAAAAAUACUAAAGAAAAGGCUAUUCCUGGCAAUCUAUCUCAAGCUAAAUGCAAAAUUUGGUUUUGCUUAUAAAGGGCUUCACAUUUAAGCAUCCAUAACAAUUUAAAAGACUGCUGCAAAACGAGGAAUUACAAAUAACUAAAACAAAUAUCAAGUUCCAGAGCAUAUUUAUUAAAGGAUAAUCAUGAUCACCAAUUGAAAAACCAAUUGUGUUAAAGACUUGCCACAAAUGAAUUUCUUAUUGCUCGUUCCACAUAAAACCGAAAGCAAAUAUAAAUUGCAUUAGGUACACAAUGAAGAGCAGGUGAAAAUAUAGAUGCAAUUUAGUUCUGAUGAUCGAAACAAGUUGGGGAUUGGUAGAACAGAACAGUAAAGUACCUGUGACAAUCAAAGCCGAUCGGCUUACUAGAGAAUUAAAAUUAUGCAUAUUAGAACUCAAUAGGACAAACAGAAAAUUUAAGGAAAGCAAGUGCCAAUACAAAGGGGAGAGACGUCAAGCAAGAGUAUCUUCCUUCUCUCUGGCUUGUCGAAGGAGCUCUUCUCUGACUCUCUUGAUCUCUGCUUCCUUCUCCAGUCUCUCCUUCUUUUCAUCUUGAUGAAGGGCGAUCCAGACAUGAACCUUCUCCAUAGAUUGCCAGAAUAUGAAGGCUCCUAAUGUCAUUGCGAAGUACGUUGCCAUUUUCACCAUUUUCCUCUCUUCUUCUUCUUGCUCCUGAGGCUAAAAAUUUGAACUUUUUCGACCUAUCAAUUAAUUAGGAAGAUCUUUCAGCUCUGGAGAUUGAAAGAAGAAUGCCGCACGAAUUAGAGGGUGCAACCCUGAACUCUG
rnacentral:misc_RNA from 1 species